GAGAGAAGCUUGCUUCUCUUGAGAGCGGCGGACGGGUGAGUAAUGCCUAGGAAUCUGCCUGUAGUGGGGGAUAACGUUCGGAAACGGACGCUAAUACCGCAUACGUCCUACGGGAGAAAGCAGGGGACCUUCGGGCCUUGCGCUAUCAGAUGAGCCUAGGUCGGAUUAGCUAGUUGGUGAGGUAAUGGCUCACCAAGGCGACGAUCCGUAACUGGUCUGAGAGGAUGAUCAGUCACACUGGAACUGAGACACGGUCCAGACUCCUACGGGAGGCAGCAGUGGGGAAUAUUGGACAAUGGGCGAAAGCCUGAUCCAGCCAUGCCGCGUGUGUGAAGAAGGUCUUCGGAUUGUAAAGCACUUUAAGUUGGGAGGAAGGGUUGUAGAUUAAUACUCUGCAAUUUUGACGUUACCGACAGAAUAAGCACCGGCUAACUCUGUGCCAGCAGCCGCGGUAAUACAGAGGGUGCAAGCGUUAAUCGGAAUUACUGGGCGUAAAGCGCGCGUAGGUGGUUCGUUAAGUUGGAUGUGAAAG
rnacentral:rRNA from 2 species